rnacentral:miRNA from 1 species
AAAUGAACACUCUGGGGAUCUUGUUAAUAUGCUGAUUCUAAUUCAGUCAGUCUUAAGAUGGGACUGGAAGGGCCUGAGAUUCUGCAUUUCUCCAAGUUCCCUAAGUGAUGCU